CAUCUGCACUGUUGCUUUAAACUCAUCCAUUUUCUUAACCCACUAAUUCAUUUAUAAGAAAGUGUAGGAGGAGCGCAUUCACCUCUUCAAUUUGGACAUCCCCCUGGAAAAGCCCAGUUCUCCCAGAGCUGAGACUACAGGAAGCGACAGGCUGCGGAUGAGAUCAUGACCGCUAAAGAACUCAAGCAGUGUUCCAGUUCCCACAGCCGCGAAGCGCAGCGCCCUGAGAGGCUGAUGUCUGACUGCUGACGCAUGAACUGCCUCCACCAAAGCUACCGUGGAUUCUGUGAACACGCUUCUGCAGGAAAAAGGAAUCAGAAAAGAACCCUCCAAGCCUCGGCUUUUUCUCUCUGUUACCAUCAUGUUGGUGGGAGUUCUGAUCCUGUUUGCCUCUGAAAUGGUAUUUUCUGCCCUGGCACUCCUCUGUGGAAUUAUGGACUCUUUUGGCGGUCUCAUGUACUCCCAGGAGGACGUCUUGUAUGAGCAGUCCAUUUCAAACACAGAAGCAACGCUCCUCCAGUCUGGGACUAAACACGGUCACACUUGAACUGCUGGAUCCUUCUUUACAGACUGUUUAUACAAUGAAGCACAACUAUAUGUUGCAAGCUGUUUGGAAACUGGAAGGCUGCUGAAGUCCUGGAAAGUACCCACCGCUCUGAUGACCAAUGAAACGACACUACUGAGCAACAAUUUGCACUUUUGUUUUUGAAAUGUCAAUAAAGUUUUGUUAAUAAGCUGAAAUGCAAUGCAGGUCAUCUUUUGUUUGCUCCAAAUUUUACACCGGUGUUACAGGAAUGUGUCCUGGUUUGGCCUGAAAGCCGAUACCGUCCGGGUUUACCAAUUAAUUAGAGUAGGGGCGGUGCUUGUUUUAAUCGUCAUGCUUGUUUUUAUGUUUUAUUGUGUUUUAAUGUAAAGCACUUUGUGUUGUAUUUUUAUAUAAAAAGUGCUUUAUAGAUAAAGUUUUGAUUGACA